GUAGUCUCGCACAGAUGCAUAUCAAUAAGCGGAGGAAAAGAAACUAACAAGGAUUCCCCUAGUAACGGCGAGUGAAGCGGGAAGAGCUCAAAUUUGAAAUCUUAAAGGGUUCCCCUUUACGAAUUGUAGUUUAAAGAAGUGGUUUCUGUUGAGGUUCUGGUAAAAGUUCUUUGGAAUAGGACAUCAUAGAGGGUGAGAAUCCCGUAUUUGACCUUUACUUUCAACUUUGUGAUACACUUUCAAAGAGUCGGAUUGUUUGGGAAUGCAGUCCAAAAUGGGUGGUAAAUUUCAUCUAAAGCUAAAUAUUGGCGAGAGACCGAUAGCGAACAAGUACCGUGAGGGAAAGAUGAAAAGAACUUUGAAAAGAGAGUUAAACAGUACGUGAAAUUGUCAAAAGGGAAGCGUUUGACACCAGUGCUGUUUUUCUGAAAAUCAAUUAAAGAACUGUUUAUGCUAAGCUGUUUAGACUUUAUCAGCUAUCUGUUUAGUUUUGAGCUUUUCUUUAAUGCACUUUUCAGUUAACAAGUCAACAUCAAUUUCUUUUGCUGUAAAAAAGCUUGAGGAAGGUGGCUUGAGAUUCGUCUUAAGUGUUUAUAGCCUCUUGCCUAUGCAGUCGGAGAGAUUGAGGUCCUGCAGCGUAGAUCCUUCGGGGCUAAAUGCAUUUGUGCUAAGUUAUAGCAUUUUAUAGACAACUUGUCGACUAUGAUUUGUCUUGUAGCUUACUCGCUUAUGUUAUUUUACCUACGCUUAGGAUGUUGACAGCAGUAUAGACUGU
rnacentral:rRNA from 1 species